GCAAAACGCCACCUCAGUGAAAUAAUUAUACAAGAAUAUAUUUUAGCACUAUCCGAGAAUGCUACAUACUUAAUAAAACCCCGAAAGUUGCAUCAAAAAUUACAAUUAUUUAGUUUUUAGUGUUUUUGUAUUUACACUCACGGGAACCCUGCGUUUAAUUUUUCCCGCGUUUUGCUGUUCUAACUCGCGGCCGACACCGUGAAUUGAUAAAGUUUUUGCAUUAUUUUCGACGUGGCUAAAGCCAAGAAAGAAAUUCGACACAUCUUAACACUUUUAUAAUAAAAAACGUACAAACGAUGGAUGGAAGGACAAAGGAUGGGUUUGAAAAAGGAGGCGAAUCCCAACUCAAGCAAGCUGCCAGCUUUAAAGGCAUGAUGCUAGGGCAGGAUGUAUUCAUUAAUACAGCUAAGUACCAAAAAGAUAGAUAAUAGUUACAAAUGAAAACUUGUAUAAAAAAAUGACCCAGGCUAAUAAACUAAACCAAAAGAAGUUGGAAACUUUAAAAACAAGUUAGAGUGGUUUAUUUCAUUCACCCUUUGACAAAGUGUCUGUUACAAAACACUGACCAACAUUGACCCUUAUUGCAAAUGGACUGAAUGGGUUUUCUAGUAAAAAAAAUAUAGUUUCAAUUUGAACUAAUUAACUGCACAGGGUUUUGUGAGCAAUCUACUUUUCAAAUAGCUGAUAUGAAUACAGCUCAAUACUUAGGAAUCUGAGAUGAUAUUUGCAAAAAUCAACAGCAAUGUACCAUUUGACCUUUUGACCUGCAAUUAUUUCAAAGAUAAUUUAGCACUGUACAUGGAAGUGAUGUGAAAUGAAAAUAUAGCUACCUUAUUUUUAACAAACUGCAUCUUUUUGUAAUGUCACACCACCCUAUUUUAUGUUUUAACACAAAAAUACCAGGUGUGCAUACCCUUGAAACCAUGAUGCUUCAAUAUGGGGGUCUAGUGGGUCCAUGGACCUCCUCAUCGAGGGUCAGUGUUUUGUAGGAUCCACCCAAGACGAAGUGUCAAUUCAAAGAGUAUUAGCCAAAAAACCCAGUAAAGAAGGUUGAUAAAACUGUUUAUCCAAUAUUUGUAAUUUCUACCAAAUUACUUUUAUUACCCUUCAACUGAGAAAAAAUUAUAAAAAUCAAGAAAAUCUAGUAGUAGUGAAAUGUGAAAGGAAGAAAGGGAAUUUGGACAGUGUAGGCAAUGGAGCACAUUUACUGGCAAAAACGAUAUGCUAAUGUAUAGAAACGCGUUGUAAGCUGAUAUGGUUUUAAAUGUUAAAGAGAAUAAAAAGCACCCAUUUUACUGUAAAAAAAAAA